AAAUUGAAGAGUUUGAUCAUGGCUCAGAUUGAACGCUGGCGGCAGGCCUAACACAUGCAAGUCGAACGGUAACAGGAAGCAGCUUGCUGCUUUGCUGACGAGUGGCGGACGGGUGAGUAAUGUCUGGGAAACUGCCUGAUGGAGGGGGAUAACUACUGGAAACGGUGGCUAAUACCGCAUAACGUCGCAAGACCAAAGAGGGGGACCUUCGGGCCUCUUGCCAUCAGAUGUGCCCAGAUGGGAUUAGCUAGUUGGUGAGGUAACGGCUCACCAAGGCGACGAUCCCUAGCUGGUCUGAGAGGAUGACCAGCCACACUGGAACUGAGACACGGUCCAGACUCCUACGGGAGGCAGCAGUGGGGAAUAUUGCACAAUGGGCGCAAGCCUGAUGCAGCCAUGCCGCGUGUAUGAAGAAGGCCUUCGGGUUGUAAAGUACUUUCAGCGGGGAGGAAGGUGUUGUGGUUAAUAACCGCAGCAAUUGACGUUACCCGCA
rnacentral:rRNA from 1 species